UACGGGGGGGGGCAAGCGCUGUUCGGAAUUACUGGGCGUAAAGGGCGCGUAGGCGGUCAGAUAAGUCAGCUGUGAAAACCUCGGGCUUAACCCGAGGCCUGCAGUUGAAACUGUUUGGCUGGAGUGUGGGAGAGGAGAGUGGAAUUCCCGGUGUAGCGGUGAAAUGCGUAGAUAUCGGGAAGGAACACCGGUGGCGAAGGCGGCUCUCUGGACCACUACUGACGCUGAGGCGCGAAAGCUAGGGGGAGCAAACAGGG
rnacentral:rRNA from 1 species